UCCUCCCCUCUGAAGUCUCAAUCACGUGUUGUAGCAGAACCGCCUCCAUCCUCUCCGGGAAAAAUGGGUAAGUACCAACCCACUUUCCCUUCCGCCACUCUACCUCUAGAAAAUCCGUCCUUUUCCCCGAUUUUGUGCUAGGCCAGCGGUAUGAUUGUGAUAGAUUUCACCCGCUCCAGCUGUGGUUACGUUUGGCGGUUCACAAAAUCUACUCUUCGCGAUCUUUGGCCCCUUUCCAUGGCUUCUCCGACGUCAGCCAUCACUUCCCACCGUCAACAAUACUUGGGCAUUGCAAGGAGCACUACUCAGCAGUACAUACACUGUACUUGACAAUGCACAAACUGGAUUGAUUGCAACAUAUUUCUUCUAUAAAGGCCAAAAAAUUGAAGAUUGAAGCAAUCAUUCGGAAAUCAAUGAUCAGGAAGUACCGGGGUGAAAUUGCUUAGGGAAAGGUCUAUAAAAUUAUCUAUUUUGUCUUGGUGACCAAUGGUGGAGUGGGGUUGGCCAACCUCACAUGAAUUCAAGAUACUCUUCAAUGACAGGACAAGGAUAGUCCCUGAUGAAUCUGCUCCUAUUUUUUGUGUACCUAAAUCUUUUAUUGUGGUGAUGAUAACAUCGUGUGAAAGUGAAUAAUAAAAAGGCGUGAAGGUGGUUCUAUAACUGUGGGGGGAUUAACACAUUUGCUACAUAGAAAUUUUUUUAGAGCCAAACACUUCAUAUUGCACAAUCUUGGAGCUAUUCUUGGUUCCAAGACAAAUGAUAUAAUUCUUUCUAUGGUCUAAGAUCUCAUAGUAGUCUUUACAUGCAUGGUCAUAUGGCUUCAAGAGAUGCAGUCAUAUGGCUUAAGCCAGUAUCUCAUCUUAUUUUAUCAUGCUAUUAAGUGAUCUUGAAAUGGUUAUAGAAAUUUUAGUUUAGAUCUCUCAAA